GUGAUAGGUGUGUAAGAAGUACUUCUCUUACACACACAUCACUUGCAUGACUUUAUGUCACAAAUUCCACUUGCAAGGCUUUAUGAAAUUGUUGAAAAAAUUUCUAAAAUUUUGUGGACUUAUCUCCACUCCCUUCCCUCUCUAAAACCGGCCCUCCCUCAAGUGGGAGUACUUUUGGGUCUUUUAUGCAAUUACAUAAAGUUUUGAUACUUUUGUGUAUUUGCACUUUGGCCCA
rnacentral:lncRNA from 1 species